ensembl:lncRNA
AGAUGCAUCGUAUGUCUGUUUUACAAACACAUACAAAUACUUAAUAUACAAUGCAUUAGUAAAUCUUCCAUCCUCAGUGAAAUAAAAAAGAAAAAGUAGAUUUAACACUAACAGAAAAUGAAGAAAUGUGGACUUUCUGUUAGGUAUUUUUUGUUUGUUUAGUUCUUUUUUUUUCUUUUUUUUUUGCUCAACCAGAAAAAUCAAAACAAUGUGCAGGAGAACACUUCUGUAAUAUCGUCCGCGAGCAUUUGUCGACCAACGAGAAGCGACGUUCCCAGUUAUGUUUCCGAAAUGACGUGAGGGGUGACGUGUACACUCUAAACAGACCAUCUACACAUCGGAACCCUUCAACAACAACCCACGCGAAAAAGAAUGAACAACACAUGAAGAGAGAGAGUUUGAGAAAAACAAACAAAAAAAACAAACAUUUUAAGCAUGAGCGAGCGACAAUUCCCCCUCAUGUACAAAAUACAUUGUCACUUCAGUACACAUCUGGAAAAACCACAAAAACAACAACAAAAAAGGACAAUCAAAACCAUGUAUGCAUUUUGUUACACCGAGAGGCACUCAGUGUGAUACGUUGUGUAUUAUUGCAAGCAUAUUCUUACUGAUAUUUGCUACAGAGUCGAGAGAAAAGAAAAAGGUCAACUUUGUCUUCAAAUGGCAAUCCUCUCGUGUACAUUUUAACACUUCAGUGUGGUGAAGAACAAUGCAGACACGGGGAGGUAAAUAGUAUCUUAAAACCUGACAAACUAACUAGCCUCAGUGAGUGUUUUUUUCUUUACAAUCACACAAAGGAAAAAGGACAAAAAAAAUCCAAUACUGCUGUUUCAGUUUGAAUAUUAUAAUUCUUCCACAAACCAGAAAAGCGACCUUAAUAAGCUUGUUAAUUCGCAGAUACUAGCUUUGAUAUAAGUCAGAAGGAAAUAAGUGCCUUAUCCCAAGUCUAGCACACUGAUACAGGUACUGGCUGGGUAAUUUUACCACUAUCAUUUUCAUUUUCAU